CCAAUAGCGUAUAUUAAAGUUGUUGCAGUUAAAAAGCUCGUAGUUGAAUUUCGGGAUCAAUAUGUCGGUCGUGCCUCGGUACGUACUGGCGUCAUUGGUUUCUCCCUUCUGAAGAACCUCGAUGUCAUUAAUUUGGUGUCGUGGGGAAUCAGGACUGUUACUUUGAAAAAAUUAGAGUGUUUAAAGCAGGCUCACGCUUGAAUACAUUAGCAUGGAAUAAUGAAAUAGGACGUUUAAUUCUAUUUUGUUGGUUUCUAGGAUUGACGUAAUGAUUAAUAGGGAUAGUUGGGGGCAUUAGUAUUCAAUUGUCAGAGGUGAAAUUCUUGGAUUUAUUGAAAACUAACUACUGCGAAAGCAUUUGCCAAGGAUGUUUUCAUUAAUCAAGAACGAAAGUUAGGGGAUCGAAGACGAUCAGAUAACGUCGUAGUCUUAACCAUAAACUAUGCCGACUAGGGAUCGGAUGAUGUUGAUUUUUUAAUGACUCAUUCGGCGCCUUACG
rnacentral:rRNA from 1 species